CAGUCGCCGCGGUAAUACGAAGGGGGCUAGCGUUGUUCGGAUUUACUGGGCGUAAAGGGUGCGUAGGCGGAUUGUUAAGUCAGGGGUGAAAUCCCGAGGCUCAACCUCGGAACUGCCUUUGAUACUGGCGAUCUUGAGUCCGGGAGAGGUGAGUGGAACUGCGAGUGUAGAGGUGAAAUUCGUAGAUAUUCGCAAGAACACCGGUGGCGAAGGCGGCUCACUGGCCCGGUACUGACGCUGAGACACGAAAGCGUGGGGAGCGAACAGGAUUAGAUACCCGAGUAGUCCCUGUCUCUUAUAC
rnacentral:rRNA from 1 species